rnacentral:rRNA from 1 species
AACGUACGCUGGCGGCACGCCUAACACAUGCAAGUCGAACGCAGUAGCAAUACUGAGUGGCAGGCGGGUGAGUAACAUGUGGGAAUCUGCCUUGUGGUUCAGGACAACAUUGGGAAACCGAUGCUAAUACUGGAUAAGCCCUUACGGGGAAAGUUUUAAUGCCAUAAGAUGAGCCCGCAUUUGAUUAGCUAGUUGGUGAGGUAAUGGCUCACCAAGGCAACGAUGUCUAGGGGAUCUGAGAGGAUUAACC